GAUGAACGCUGGCGGCGUGCCUAAUACAUGCAAGUCGAGCGAACAGACGAGGAGCUUGCUCCUCUGACGUUAGCGGCGGACGGGUGAGUAACACGUGGAUAACCUACCUAUAAGACUGGGAUAACUUCGGGAAACCGGAGCUAAUACCGGAUAAUAUAUUGAACCGCAUGGUUCAAUAGUGAAAGACGGUUUUGCUGUCACUUAUAGAUGGAUCCGCGCCGCAUUAGCUAGUUGGUAAGGUAACGGCUUACCAAGGCGGCGAUGCGUAGCCGACGGGAGAGGGGGUAGGGCGACAGUGAGGGUGAGAGGCGACACAGAGUCCGAGGGGCGGCAGAGAUAGGGAAUCGUGGCAAAAGGGGGAAAGCCUGCCGGAUCAGCGCCGGGGGGAUGAAGAAGGGCUGCGGGUGGAAAAACGUUGUUAUGGGGGAAAAACAAUUUUGUAAAUAACGAUGCACUGUGUGACGGUACUUAAUAAAAAAGCCACGGCUAACUACGUG
rnacentral:rRNA from 1 species